AAGGCAAGAAAAGGCCAAAUUUCAUGUGGUGUAAUGAAGGUAAAAGUCAGAAAAGGCAGGAUGGUUUCUGUAAGUUAGAAUAGAUGAUUGAGGAACAGUUUGAAUGUUUGAUUUAAAUUAUGUGGUCCAAUCAUCAUAUUUGGUUUAAUGGUCUUUAUUUUUGUUUAGAGUUGUAUGUACUCUGAAUAGCUGUGAGAGGAGAGAGGAGUCCACAUGGAGUUCCCAAAUACACAAUGUGAUUUUAAAAGCCUUCUAAUAUAAGUACUGUAAUCUCAACAAUAACAGAACGGGGUAAAGGAGUGGACUGAGGUAGCGGUGUGGAACUUGGUAAAGGUGUAGAACAUGGUAAAGGGGUGGACUGAGGGGGCGUGGAACGUAAUGAAGGUGAGGACUGAGGUAAAGGGGUGGACUGAGGGGGUGUGGAACGUAAUGAAGGUGAGGACUGAGGUAAAGGUGUGGCAUGAGGGGCCGUGGAACCUAAUAAAGGUGAGAACUGAGGUAAAGGUGUGGCAUGAGGGGCCGUGGAACCUAAUAAAGGUGAGAACCGAGGUAAAGGUGUGGCAUGAGGGGCCGUGGAACCUAAUAAAGGUGAGAAUUGAGGUAAAGGGGUGGACUGAGGGGGCGUGGAACCUAAUAAGGUGAGGACUGAGGUAAAGGGGUGGACUGAGGGGGCGUGGAACGUAAUGAAGGUGAGGACUGAGGUAAAGGGGUGGACUGAGGGGGCGUGGAACGUAAUGAAGGGGUGGACUGAGGGGGCGUGGAACGUAAUGAAGGUGAGGACUGAGGUAAAGGGGUGGACUGAGGGGGCGUGGAACGUAAUGAAGGUGAGGACUGAGGUAAAGGGGUGGACUGAGGGGGCGUGGAACGUAAUGAAGGUGAGGACUGAGGUAAAGGGGUGGACUGAGGGGGCGUGGAACGUAAUGAAGGUGAGGACUGAGGUAAAGGGGUGGACUGAGGGGGCGUGGAACGAAAUGAAGGUGAGGACUGAGGUAAAGGGGUGGACUGAGGGGGCGUGGAACGUAAUGAAGGUGAGGACUGAGGUAAAGGAAAGGGGUGGACUGAGGGGGCGUGGAACGUAAUGAAGGUGAGAAUGAAGGGACUUGGAACCUAAUAAAGGUGUGGCCUGAGGGGGUGUGGAAUGUUUUAUAAAGGUGUGGACUGAGGUAAAGGUGUAUGUUGAGGCGGUGUGUAAUCGUGUUUUAAUUCUUAUGAGUUAUCCCUCUGGGGAACACAGGAUUCUGUGUAGAAUUCAUACAACAAAGUAAGAAAUCUUGAACUGCGUUUUUUUUUUUUCUUCUUUCCCUUUUUUCUCUCUGUGUGUGUGUGUGUGUGUGUGUGUGUGUGUGUGUGUGUGUGUGCGCACACUGUUAAAGCCGAUAAUCCUUACAUUUCCUCAGCUGUAUUACGAAGUUUUUAAAGGUAUGGUAACAAGGCUGGUGAUUCCUGUCUGAAAUAAAAGUCAUGUGAUCGUGUGGUAAAAGUCAUGGUGGUUUAUAGAGCUGAAUAAAGUGGGCGUUACUCCAUGGUCUAAUGUCGUAAUGAGACGUGUGGAUCGGUGACAGUUUGGACCGUAGUAGAGUAGAGGACUCUGUGUGUAGUGUAUAAUGUAAUCAGAUAUUUAAUCGUAUAUUUCCUUUUUCUUCAGAGAAAUGAAAUGUAGAAGUGCAGGAGCUCUAAUAGAGUGCGGAGUGUUUGCCGUUUUGUGGAGUGUAUUUUCGUGGAGUGUUUGCCGGCUCUCUCAGGUAUGAAGUAAUGCUGCUGGAUAUUGUGGCAUAGUUAAAUCUGAUCUGAUCUCCUGCUCGCUCAUCUGCAAACUGGCCUAACCUGUCCUUAUGAGCAACGUCCUUACCUAGUAUACGAGGUGACUGGCUCAUAUCCUACUGAACAGGUGAGCUCUCUCGGAUCUCCUUUCUGCGAGAUGUUUUCCGUGUCUCUCCUCUUGUACGAACUCUGCGUUAGAAUAUAGAUCGUCUAAAACUGCCUCAGCGUGGUUUCGUAACAUGAAUGAGCAAUGUCCGCUCACACACACGGCAUUGUCCAGGGCCGCAACCUAAUAACGACUGGAGAGAGGUCUGGCCUGAGCUUCUCUCUGUGAGGCAGAAUUGCUUUUUUAGGCAUUUGGAGGGACAAACCCAUGUGUAUUUUGGGGAAUACUUUAUUAUGGGUGUCGGAUAAAAGCAGGGGAGUUGAGGGGCGGGGAACUGCCAGAGGAAUUCCCUUAAUCCGAGUGUUCAGUGGUCUAAAACUGAGCAACUUGCACACGUCCUCUUUGUGAAUGAUGUCAUAGAGUGUUACAGCUUCACUUCCUGUUGAGACGAAGAGUGAAUACGAUGUGUGUUCAGUGUUGUGUACGAGACGUGCGGCUGCAGAAGCGUAUAAGCGGAAGUGAUUGGUCCCGCUCAGAGCUUUUGUUAAUUAAAACGAUUUGAUCUUUGCGUGUUGCGUCGCUUCAUAAACCGGUCCAACGACCCGGGAAGGUUCAGAAUGACGCUUCGGAUGCUUUUCUCAUUUUAGUGCAUCACUUCAUAGCUUUAGACGUGCAUCGGUGUGACUAUGACGGAUCGGGUGUGCGUUUAAUAUCAGGUAACUUGUUUCUAGCGUGGUGUUUUGAUUGAGAUGUGUUGUGGAGCUGAAACGGUGGACGGUUUUGUUUCUGCACUGGAAGGAAAAUAGCUCCGAACCAAAAUUACAGUGAUUAGAGAAAUCACGCUUAAAUGCGCGCGUGUGUGUGUGUGUGUGUGUGUGUGUGGCAGCAGUGUGUUGUACACUGAAGUGGUUUUGGUGUUGCAGGCUGCUAUUAGAGCAGAGGAUUUUAAAAGAUCUGUUUUGAAGCUUGGCGACGUAGCAGUGCGUCUCUUCUGUCGUAUGAUUGUGGCUCUAACCCUAAGCAACCGCUGAGCUCUCAUUUUCUACGUACUUUCAUGGCCUGAAGCAGCGAUUCCAGACACAAUUUAACUGGGAUGUUCUCCGUUCUAUGCAAAUUUGAUAAGGCUCUGUAAAGCAACACAUCCAGGUGUGACGUUUCUUCAGCUCCAUGCUCACAAUUUUAGUUCCUGCAGAAAUGGGAUAAAAUUGUAUAACCUCCAUGAUUAAAUUUCUUCAUGUUAUAUACACGCUCUCAUUAAAUGUGUACCGAACCGUUGGGAAGGAAAAGAAAGCUCGGAAGGACGUCGCGGAGAUCUUUGGUGCCUCUGGUGAGGGUAUGUAACUAGUACAGUUAGCUCAAUUUGCCAAUCUAAUCCGAGACCGUGCUAGCUCCCUCUGCCGAGAUAACAGCUCUCGGUCUUCUCCUGUGAUGCCUUGAGGUUGGAGAAUACAUGGCGAGGGGUCUGUGUUGUGUUUGCAAUUUUAAACAUUUGAAACUAUCUCAAUCACGUGCUUGUUUAGUUUUAUUUUAAUGAAAGGAGAGUAAAAAUAAAUCUUUUUUUUAUGCAUACUUCAGACAGGAAAGCCACUUUUCCGUGCACGUUUCUGAUUUUGUGAAGCUUCGUGUCCACGUUGAGGAGAACCGGUUUGCUUCGCGCCGCCCCUCGUCCUGCACUCGUACACCACAUGAAGGACGUUCUGUAGUACACACGUCAGGAUUGUUUGUUUGUUAUGUGAUACGCGUGUGUAUGAGUGUCGUGCGGUUAGUGAAUUUUGCGUGCGUGUGCUGAUCGUACUUGGUCAUUAGAUGGACAAACAUCACGUGAGAGGAGCUUCACGUGUACGGCUGUAGCGUUGUCGGCCGCUCCGUUUGAAGCCGGAGCCGCCGGCGGUGGUUUCCCGUCUUCCCUGCAG
ensembl:lncRNA